CAAUAGCGUAUAUUAAAGUUGUUGCAGUUAAAAAGCUCGUAGUUGGAUUUCUGGUAGGAGCGACCGUGCCGAACUUGAUUGUUCGAGUAUUGUGUUGUCUUCAGCCAUCCUCGUGGAGAACUUUUCUAACAUUAACUUGUUGGGAUUGGGACCCGCGUCGUUUACUGUGAAAAAAUUAGAGUGUUUAAAGCAGGCAUUAGCUUGAAUACAUUAGCAUGGAAUAAUAAGAUAGGACUUUGGUACUAUUUUGUUGGUUUGCAUACCAAAUUAAUGAUCAACAGGAACAGUUUGAGGAUAUUCGUAUGAACAUGUCAGACGUGAAAUUCUUGGAUUUUGAUCAGACGAACUACUGCGAAAGCAUUUAUCAAGGAUGUUUUCAUUAA
rnacentral:rRNA from 1 species